rnacentral:tRNA from 1 species
GGUGAGGUGUCCGAGUGGUCGAAGGAGCACGCCUGGAAAGUGUGUAUGCGGGAACGUAUCGAGGGUUCGAAUCCCUCCCUCACCGCCA